rnacentral:lncRNA from 10 species
AGCUGCCGGACACCAGGAGACGAUGGAAGGUCUAUAGUGUUACAGCUCUGACCCAGGAAGUCCCAGGGUCUUGCCUUCCAGAAGGGUCGCGGCUCUUCCCUCCCUCAGUCCAACGAACAGGAGCACGUCACCUCCCGCAGCUCGGGGAGCUGGCCAGGAACGUGUUACAGCCCGUUUCGCUCCUGUCCGCAGCUGGGUGAGGCAGCCAGGAAAAUAUUACAGCUCUUCUCACGCCCGCCAUUCAGCAGGUCCUGACUUCUUGUGUGACAUCCAGAAGAAAGGGGUUACACAGACAGCUGGAGGGUGAGCAAAGUGGAGAAGUUCUCAGCAGAGAGGAGACUGGAGUGAGUUGCCCCUACCCGCAGGUGCCAACUGUAAUACAUCAGUAGCUGAACAGCUCAUUGCCCUCAAGUGUUCUUGCUCAUGCCUGGCUGAGUUAUUGAAGAAAUUGCUCAGAUCUCAAGCCCUUGUAGAUCACUGGUCCUGGCAGAUGUUGUUUCACUCAGUUGAGAUUCAGGAUUUUUCUCUGCAUUUUUAAGAAGAAUUAAAGUGGCCAGGCAUGGUGGCUCACACCUGUACCUCCCAGCACUUCGGGAGGCCAAGGUAGGUGGAUCACCUGAGGUCAGGAGUUCGAGACCAGUUUGGCCAACAUGGUGAAACCCUGUCUCUACUAACAGAGAUACAGACCAAUGCAACAGAAAAGAGCCCUCAGAAAUAAUACCACACAUCUACAACCAUCUGAUCUUCAACAAACCUGACAAAAACAAAUGGAGAAAGGACUCCCUAUUUAAUAAAUGGUACUGGGAAAACUGGCUAGCCCUAUGUAGAAAGCUGAAACUGGAUCCCUUCCUUACGCCUUAUAUAAAAAUCAAUUCAAGAUGGAUUAAAGACUUACAUGUUAGACCUAAAACCAUAAAAACCCUGGAAGAAAACCUAGGCAU